rnacentral:rRNA from 1 species
GACGAACGCUGGCGGCGUGCUUAACACAUGCAAGUCGAACGAAGAGCGAUGGAAGCUUGCUUCUAUCAAUCUUAGUGGCGAACGGGUGAGUAACGCGUAAUCAACCUGCCCUUCAGAGGGGGACAACAGUUGGAAACGACUGCUAAUACCGCAUACGAUCUAAUCUCGGCAUCGAGGAUAGAUGAAAGGUGGCCUCUACAUGUAAGCUAUCACUGAAGGAGGGGAUUGCGUCUGAUUAGCUAGUUGGAGGGGUAACGGCCCACCAAGGCGAUGAUCAGUAGCCGGUCUGAGAGGAUGAACGGCCACAUUGGGACUGAGACACGGCCCAGACUCCUACGGGAGGCAGCAGUGGGGAAUCUUCCGCAAUGGACGAAAGUCUGACGGAGCAACGCCGCGUGAGUGAUGACGGCCGUCGGGUUGUAAAGCUCGGUUAAUCGGGACGAAAGGCCUUCUUGCGAAUAGUGAGAAGGAUUGACGGUACCGGAAGAGAAAGCCACGGCUAACUACGUG